rnacentral:rRNA from 1 species
GAUGAACGCUGGCGGCGUGCCUAAUACAUGCAAGUCGAGCGAACAGACGAGGAGCUUGCUCCUCUGACGUUAGCGGCGGACGGGUGAGUAACACGUGGAUAACCUACCUAUAAGACUGGGAUAACUUCGGGAAACCGGAGCUAAUACCGGAUAAUAUAUUGAACCGCAUGGUUCAAUAGUGAAAGACGGUUUUGCUGUCUCUUAUAGAUGGAUUCGCGCCGCAUUAGCUAGUUGGUAAGGUAACGGCUUACCAAGGCGACGAUGCGUAGCCGACCUGAGAGGGUGAUCGGCCACACUGGAACUGAGACACGGUCCAGACUCCUACGGGAGGCAGCAGUAGGGAAUCUUCCGCAAUGGGCGAAAGCCUGACGGAGCAACGCCGCGUGAGUGAUGAAGGUCUUCGGAUCGUAAAACUCUGUUAUUAGGGAAGAACAAAUGUGUAAGUAACUAUGCACGUCUUGACGGUACCUAAUCAGAAAGCCACGGCUAACUACGUG